CUAAGAAUAUUCCGCAAUGGACGAAAGUCUGACGGAGCGACGCCGCGUGGAUGAUGAAGGCCGAAAGGUUGUAAAGUCCUUUUGCUGGGGAAGAAUAACCAUGGGAGGGAAUGCCCGUGGGAUGACAUGAACCGGCGAAUAAGCCCCGGCUAACUACGUGCCAGCAGCCGCGGUAACACGGAGGGGGCGAGCGUUGUUCGGAAUUACUGGGCGUAAAGGGCAGGUAGGCGGGUUGGUAAGCCUGGCGUGAAA
rnacentral:rRNA from 1 species